GGGGGUAUAGGCUCAAUUGGCAAACCGCCUGGCUCCAGACCAGGAUUUCUGGGUUCGAAUCCUAGUACCCCCGCCA
rnacentral:tRNA from 1 species